GACGAACGCUGGCGGCGUGCUUAACACAUGCAAGUCGAGCGGUAAGGCCCUUUCGGGGGUACACGAGCGGCGAACGGGUGAGUAACACGUGGGUGACCUGCCCUCAGCUCUGGGAUAAGCCUGGGAACUGGGUCUAAUACCGGAUAUGACUCCAUGACGCAUGUUGUGGGGUGGAAAGCCUUGUGCGGCUGGGGAUGGGCCCGCGGCCUAUCAGCUUGUUGGUGGGGUGAUGGCCUACCAAGGCGACGACGGGUAGCCGGCCUGAGAGGGCGACCGGCCACACUGGGACUGAGACACGGGCCCAGACUCCUACGGGAGGCAGCAGUGGGGAAUCUUGCGCAAUGGGCGAAAGCCUGACGCAGCGACGCCGCGUGAGGGAUGACGGCCUGGU
rnacentral:rRNA from 1 species